rnacentral:rRNA from 1 species
AGCUAGAUGUAUUUAUAUUUAGUGAUUUCUGCCCAGUGAUAUUUUAACGGCCGCAGUACUUUGACUGUGCUAAGGUAGCAUAAUCAAUUGGCUUUUAAUUGAAGUCUAGGAUGAAGGGGAGCUUGGGAAAAAGCUGUCUUAAAUAAAAUUUUAUAAAUUUAAUAAUUGGGUGAAAAUACCCACAUAAAGAAAAAAGACGAGAAGACCCUUAGAGUUUUUUUGUUGGGGUGACAGGUAAACAAACUUCAUUUUAUGAUAAGUUAAACUACCUUAGGGAUAACAGCAUAAUCUUAUUUAAGGAUUGUGACCUCGAUGUUGGACUAGGAAAAUAAUAAUUAGAAAUUAAAAUUUAAAGUUCUGUUCGAACAUUUUCUCCU